GUGCCAGCAGCCGCGGUAAUACGAAGGUCCCAAGCGUUAUCCGGAUUUAUUGGGUUUAAAGGGUGCGUAGGCGGGUUAUUAAGUCAGUGGUGAAAGCCUUCAGCUUAACUGAAGAAUUGCCAUUGAUACUGAUGAUCUUGAGUAUGAUUGAGGUGGGCGGAAUGUGUCAUGUAGCGGUGAAAUGCUUAGAUAUGACACAGAACACCGAUUGCGAAGGCAGCUCACUAAGCCAUAACUGACGCUGAUGCACGAAAGCGUGGGGAGCAAACAGGAUUAGAUACCCGCGUAGUCC
rnacentral:rRNA from 1 species